rnacentral:rRNA from 1 species
GUACACGCUGUGACUAGCAUAUCAAUAAGCGGAGGAAAAGAAACUAACAAGGAUUCCCCUAGUAACGGCGAGUGAAGCGGGAAGAGCUCAAAUUUGAAAUCUUAAAGGGUUUCCCUUUACGAAUUGUAGUUUAAAGAAGUGUUUUCUGUUGAGGUUUUGGUAAAAGUUCUUUGGAAUAGGACAUCAUAGAGGGUGAGAAUCCCGUAUUUGACCUUUACUUUCAACUUUGUGAUACACUUUCAAAGAGUCGGAUUGUUUGGGAAUGCAGUCCAAAAUGGGUGGUAAAUUUCAUCUAAAGCUAAAUAUUGGCGAGAGACCGAUAGCGAACAAGUACCGUGAGGGAAAGAUGAAAAGAACUUUGAAAAGAGAGUUAAACAGUACGUGAAAUUGUCAAAAGGGAAGCGUUUGACACCAGUGUUGUUUUACUGAAAAUCAAUUAAAGAACUGUUUAUGCUAAGCUGUUUAGACUUUAUCAGCUAACUGUUUAGUUUUGAGCUUUUCUUUAAUGCACUUUUCAGUUAACAAGUCAACAUCAAUUUCUUUUGCUGUAAAAAAGCUUGAGGAAGGUGGCUUGAGAUUCGUCUUAAGUGUUUAUAGCCUCUUGCCUAUGCAGUCGGAGAGAUUGAGGUCUGCAGCGUAGAUCCUUCGGGGCUAAAUGCAUUUGUGCUAAGUUAUAGCAUUUUAUAGACAACUUGUUGACUAUGAUUUGUCUUGUAGCUUACUCGCUUAUGUUAUUUUACCUACGCUUAGGAUGUUGACGCGCGUGUGUGCGUG